rnacentral:siRNA from 1 species
CAAACGAGUUCCUAGAUCAUCCU